ensembl:misc_RNA Metazoa_SRP Metazoan signal recognition particle RNA
GCCGGGCGUUGGUAGCGCGUGCCUUUAAUCCCAGCACUCAGCAGGCAGAGGCAGGCGGAUCUCUGUGAGUUCGAGGCCAGCCUGGUCUCCAGAGCCAGUGCCAGGAUAGGCUCCAAAGCUACACAGAGAAACCCUGUCUCGAAAAAAAAAAAAAAAAAAAAAAACAAAAACACAAAAAACCUAUUUUUCAUUCCACAUUACAGGAUAGCAUCUUUUUUUUGGGGGGGGGGGUUUCAAGACAGGGCUUCUCUGUGUAGCUUUGGAGCCUAUCCUGGCACUGGCUCUGUAGACCAGGCUGGCCUCAAACUCACAGAGAUCCGCCUGCCUCUG